AAUGCCUACUGUGUAACAAUGUCCUUUGUCUCUGACCCAGGCAUCUCUUGUCUUCUUCCAGAAACCAUGACACUAUGGCAGGCCAACUUAUUAGCUUUCAAGUAAGGUAACAUCUCAGACCAUCACAGGUUUUGAUAGAGGAAACUCUGAAGGACCACAGGAGUUGGAGGUUCCACGUAUCUCUAAGUAGUAACAUACAAUGGGUCAAAAACAGAAGAAAGAGAACUCAAGAUUCCCAAGCCACAGAGCUGUUGAUUGGAGGCUGACUCAGAGAGACCCUGGAUUCUGUGACAUACAGAGACAACAGGUGGGUGCACCAGCCCCUUUCCUUGACAGGCUCCCAGCGUUUUGUCUGUAGGUUUGCAACUUCCCAGGCAACAAAUUAAUAGAAAAAAAAAAUCUUCCAUCUGAGGAAAUUAACAAGCCAAAGUAAAAAGACCUGGAAAUACUAACAAGCAGUAUUUCUCUGAAAUUCCCAGUUUUCAUCCUAAUAUGAGGCCCAUAGAGAACUUCCAAUCAGCCAUGAGUGCUUCAUAUCUACUUAUUAAUGAGAGGCCAGUAGGGAAAUGCUCUACCAUGAAUGAUGUACUCUAAAACAAACAGAAGCAAUGUAAGACCAGAAGAAAACUUCCAGAAACUAUGGUUAAGAUCCUCCAAAAGAGAAAAAAAAAAGUUACUGGGUCAUUGAAAUAACAGGAGGAUGCUGUAAAAAAGAAACAUCCUAAGUAUUAGAAAGAUCCUUCAGAAAUUAAAAAAAAAUCAGUAGUUGGAAGGUAAAUUUGAAGGGAUUUCCCAAAAACUAGUAUAAAACCAAACAGAGAAGUCUUAUAAAAGAGAAAAGUAAUAACAUAAAAGAAUUAUCAAAGAAAUAAUACCAAAUAAUCUCAACAAUCAAACGACUUGACUUUACAUAUAGUUAAGACUUGCCUAGUCCAUGGCAUAUGAAAAGAAAAUCAGAAAUACUACCAUUUGAAAUUCCAGAAUAAAAGGGGGAAGACCUUUCUGGUUGUGGCUAAGGAUAAAGGGGGUUGGGGCAAGAAGCAGCUCACAAUCAGACUGACCUAAGGAAAGAUGGCCCAGAACUCACCCAGAAGCAGUGGAUCAAUGUUUGCACAACUCUCAGGGGAAAUUAUUUUCUACCCAUUCAACAAAGUUACCUUCCGUGCAACAUUCCUCAGAAGAUUUCUGGAGAAUAUUCUCCACCAAUGUAAAGAAGCAGAAUGACCAAGACUGGGAAGACCUGGUCGGGAACCAGGGAGUCCACCCAGGAAACAGCAGGAGGGUCUUGCAGUAUGACAGUGAGGGGUUCAGGUUGGCCGCUAUGGCAGGCAGCCCUGUGGGAAUGGGAGGGAGGGCAAUCCAAAUCUGUGGCCAUGGAGGUUGGCUAAAGCCUUCCAACCCAUGGAGAGGGCUGUGUGCUUCCAUCAGAGCUGCCAACAAAACACUACAGUGCUUGGCUGUCAGACAUUAUUUUCUUUUAAAGGGAGUUAAUCGCCUUCUGGACAAACAUAAUCUAUGCGACCUCCUCCCCAAAAGGUACAGGAUCAGUUUGGGUUUUAAUUGACGGGCUCAGCACCAAAUGACAGACUUGACACAUCCACCCCCACCAUGGAUGCUGUCCGUCCACUGUUGCACAAUGUCCUUCAGUGUCUAAUUUACAGAUCCAGCUGUAUUUCCCCUUCCACCUGCAUCCCUGAAGUUCCUCCCACCUGAAAACUUCACCUGACCCAAGAAAGCAAAGGAAAAAACCCAGAGAGCCAGCUCAUGGUCUGGUUCACUGUUUAACAGCCAGGAGCCAGAGCCUGCGUACUAGAAGUGGAUGCCCAGGAAGUACUUGUGAGCUGACUAAGAGUGUAAGAACGCCACCCACUUCAUUUAGGAAAGUGAAGCAGGAUUCCAUGCAGUGUGAAUGAGUGCACAUGGAACAAGCAGGUUAUCAUUUAUAUUCAGCAAGGGACCUCCAUGGACAGGACAUUUGGAGAGCUGCUAUCAAACAUCAGAACUUCUGACACUGUACACACAGUCUUAUAUUCUGCCUUGUCUGUUGUGAUAUCUCACUACAGUAAUGAUUAUGAUGAUGAGCACUUAUGCAUUGAUAUUGCAAUACGUCUGCAUAAGAACCAUUCCUAAGGCAGGUUAUAUUAUUACCCUCAGUGUACAGGUAAAGAGGUUAGACUGAUAACUUACCCGGUGUCACAUAGGUACUAAUGGCCAAACUAGAGUUGGAACCUGUCUGCCUACUCUCCAAGCUCAGGAUUGACUUGAGCACAAGCGUAAGUAUCUCACAUGCUUUGUAAAGUUCAGGUUGAUAACAAAAUACGUGAAAGGCAGGGGUAUAGACAACAGGGGGCAUAUGAAAUAUGGGAAGAGCCUAAAGGAAUUAAAGUCUAUUAUUUUUAAUCCACUGCUGUCAAAUGA